rnacentral:rRNA from 1 species
AACGAACGCUGGCGGCAGGCCUAACACAUGCAAGUCGAGCGAGGACUUCGGUUCUAGCGGCGGACGGGUGAGUAACGCGUGGGAAUGUGCCCUUCUCUACGGAAUAGCCCUGGGAAACUGGGAGUAAUACCGUAUACGCCCUAUUGGGGAAAGAUUUAUCGGAGAAGGAUCAGCCCGCGUUGGAUUAGGUAGUUGGUGGGGUAAUGGCCUACCAAGCCGACGAUCCAUAGCUGGUUUGAGAGGAUGAUCAGCCACACUGGGACUGAGACACGGCCCAGACUCCUACGGGAGGCAGCAGUGGGGAAUCUUAAACAAUGGGGGCAACCCUGAUCUAGCCAUGCCGCGUGAGUGAUGAAGGCCUUAGGGUUGUAAAGCUCUUUCAGCUGGGAAGAUAAUGACGGUACCAGCAGAAGAAGCCCCGGCUAACUCCGUG